GGGGCUGCGGGAUGCGGGCAGGGCCCUCGGGACCCGCACUCGGGCAGUGCCUGCUGUCUGCGUGCAUUUCCUCCUCCAUAUGCGCAGCCCUGCGGGGUAGGGGCUGGUUGACCCCCGUUGUAGGGAUGGGGAAACUGAGGCUUGGGCACCCUGGGUCGCAAUCCGAGGUCUCCGGGCCCCAAACGGCAGGGAUCUGGGGGCUGUGCCAUGGACCCUGUGAGGUGGCUGGGCUGUGAAACUCAGUGGAGACCGGAAUUAUUAUUAUUAUUAUUAUUUUUUUGAGAUGGAGUCUCACUGUCUCCCGGGCUGGAGUGCAGUGGCA
rnacentral:lncRNA from 10 species